rnacentral:rRNA from 1 species
GGGCCCGCACAAGCGGUGGAGUAUGUGGUUUAAUUCGAUGCAACGCGAAGAACCUUACCAACACUUGACAUGUUCGUCGCGACUCUAAGAGAUUAGAGUUUUCGGUUCGGCCGGACGAAACACAGGUGCUGCAUGGCUGUCGUCAGCUCGUGUCGUGAGAUGUUGGGUUAAGUCCCGCAACGAGCGCAACCCUCACUUUUAGUUGCCAUCAUUAAGUUGGGCACUCUGAAAGAACUGCCAGUGAUAAGCUGGAGGAAGGUGGGGAUGACGUCAAGUCCUCAUGGCCCUUACGUGUUGGGCUACACACGUGCUACAAUGGUAUCUACAACAGGAAGCAAGACUGCGAAGUUAAGCAAAUCCCUAAAAGAUACCUCAGUUCGGAUUGCACUCUGCAACUCGAGUGCAUGAAGCUGGAAUUACUAGUAAUCGUGGAUC